rnacentral:rRNA from 1 species
GUGAGGAAUAUUGGUCAAUGGUCGGGAGACUGAACCAGCCAAGCCGCGUGAGGGAUGAAGGUACAGAGUAUCGUAAACCUCUUUUGUCAGGGAACAAAGGCGGGGACGCGUCCCCGGAUGAGUGUACCUGAAGAAAAAGCAUCGGCUAACUCCGUGCCAGCAGCCGCGGUAAUACGGAGGAUGCGAGCGUUAUCCGGAUUUAUUGGGUUUAAAGGGUGCGCAGGCGGCCCGACAAGCCGGCGGUCAAAUCGCGGGGCUCAACCCCGUCCAGCCGUCGGAACUGCCGGGCUAGAGUGGGCGAGAAGUGCGCGGAAUGCGUGGUGUAGCGGUGAAAUGCAUAGAUAUCACGCAGAACUCCGAUUGCGAAGGCAGCGUACCGGCGCCCUACUGACGCUCAGGCACGAAAGCGUGGGUAUCGAACAGGAUUAGAUACCCUAGUAGUCC